rnacentral:lncRNA from 1 species
ACGCCGGUGUGGGGCCCACAGCUCUCCCCUGGUUCCGGCGCUGGCUGCGGGCCUCACCAACCACCCCCUCGCAUGCCGAUGUCCUCCAGAUCUAUGCUGAUGCCCAAGGCAGCUCCUCUGCGGGCCCCGCUCCGGGGAGCCCUGACCAAGCAGACGUCCUGAUGGUCUAUGCAGCUGCCGAGGGCUGUGUAGCCUAUCGGGAUGAAGAGAAGGGCUCAGACUUUAUCCAGACUCUGGUGGAGGUCCUCAGAGCUGACCCCGGGGCAGAGCUCCUGGAGCUGCUGACUGAGGUCAACCGACGGGUGUGUGAACUGGAGGUGCUGGGUCCCGACUGCCAGGAGCGCGUCAAGGCCUGCCUGGAGAUCCGAAGCUCUCUUCGGCGCCAGCUCUGCCUGCAGGCCUGACUGCGCCCCUGCCGCCCGGGCGGGGGUGGGGUGGGGUGCCGACAGUGGGUGCUGCUGACUCCAUCCACUCUACCGGCUCCUUUUCUGUCAAUGGGUGCAGCAGCGCGGGCGCGGGGCUAAGGGAGGGGGCGUGCAAUAAACUUCUGUGGAUGAUCGCUGUGCUCA